rnacentral:rRNA from 1 species
CACGAAGNACUCCGAUUGCGAAGGCAGCUUGCUGGACUGUAACUGACGCUGAGGCACGAAAGCGUGGGGAUCAAACAGGAUUAGAUACCCUNGUAGNCCACGCCGUAAACGAUGAAUGCUAGCUGUUAGCGAUAUACUGUUAGCGGCACAGAGAAAUCGUUAAGCAUUCCACCUGGGGAGUACGCCGGCAACGGUGAAACUCAAAGGAAUUGACGGGGGCCCGCACAAGCGGAGGAACAUGUGGUUUAAUUCGAUGAUACGCGAGGAACCUUACCUGGGCUUAAAUUGCAGUGGAAUAACGUGGAAACAUGUUAGCCUUCGGGCCGCUGUGAAGGUGCUGCAUGGUUGUCGUCAGCUCGUGCCGUGAGGUGUCGGCUUAAGUGCCAUAACGAGCGCAACCCUCAUCGAUAGUUACUAACAGGUUAAGCUGAGGACUCUAUCGAGACUGCCGACGUAAGUCGUGAGGAAGGUGGGGAUGACGUCAAAUCAGCACGGCCCUUACGUCCAGGGCUACACACGUGUUACAAUGGGGGGUACAAAGGGCAGCUACCUGGCGACAGGAUGCUAAUCUCAAAAACCUCUCUCAGUUCGGAUUGGAGUCUGCAACCCGACUCCAUGAAGCUGGAUUCGCUAGUAAUCGCGCAUCAGCCACGGCGCGGUGAAUACGUUCCCGGGCCUUGUACACACCGCCCGUCAAGCCAUGGGAGCCGGGGGGACCUGAAGUAUGCAACCGUAAGGAGCGUCCUAGGGUAAAACUGGUGACUGGGGCU